rnacentral:rRNA from 1 species
UUGGAGGGCAAGUCUGGUGCCAGCAGCCGCGGUAAUUCCAGCUCCAAUAGCGUAUAUUAAAGUUGUUGCAGUUAAAAAGCUCGUAGUUGAAUUUCGGGAUCAAUAUAUCGGUCAUGCUUAGGUAUGUACUGGUAUUAUUGAUUUCUCCCUUCUGAAGAACCAUGAUGUCAUUAAUUUGAUGUCGUGGGGAAUCAGGACUGUUACUUUGAAAAAAUUAGAGUGUUUAAAGCAGGCAUACGCUUGAAUACAUUAGCAUGGAAUAAUGAAAUAGGACGUUUGAUUCUAUUUUGUUGGUUUCUAGGAUUGACGUAAUGAUUAAUAGGGAUAGUUGGGGGCAUUAGUAUUCAAUUGUCAGAGGUGAAAUUCUUGGAUUUAUUGAAGACUAACUACUGCGAAAGCAUUUGCCAAGGAUGUUUUCAUUAAUCAAGAACGAAAGUUAGGGGAUCGAAGACGAUCAGAUACCGUCGUAGUCUUAACCAUAAACUAUGCCGACUAGGGAUCGGAUGAUGUUAAUUUUUUAAUGACUCAUUCGGCGCCUUACGGAAACCAAAGUGUUUGGGUUC